rnacentral:lncRNA from 1 species
GUUCAGGAGGUGAAAAUGAGCCACACCGAGACAAACCGUGAGGCAGAUAAAAAUCACAUAGCCAUGCACCUGCAAAUGCAGGAAAAAAACAACCGAUUUUGUCACUUUAAAUCAAGUUUAAAUGAACAGAGAAAACCUCCCCCUAAAAAUCAACAGUGCUGAAGGAAACAAACUGAAAUACCCAGAAGCCUUGGAAAUACUCAAAACUUGAUACAGAACAGGCAUCUUUUUGUUCACUCUACUUUUCAGGUAUGUGAUCUA